AUACGUAGGGGGCGAGCGUUGUCCGGAAUGAUUGGGCGUAAAGGGCGCGUAGGCGGCUUUGCAAGUCAGUAGUGGAAGUCCAUUUUUCAAGGAUGGAAGUGCUACAGAAACUGCGGGGCUUGAGUGCAGGAGAGGUUAUCGGAAUUCCCGGUGUAGAGGUGAAAUGCGUAGAGAUCGGGGGGAACACCAGUGGCGAAGGCGGGUAACUGGACUGCAACUGACGCUGAGGCGCGAAAGUGUGGGGAGCAAACAGGAUUAGAUACCCUGGUAGUCCACACUGUAAACGAUGAAUGCUAGGUGUAGGAGGUAUCGACCCCUUCUGUGCCGCAGUAAACACAGUAAGCAUUCCGCCUGGGGAGUACGGUCGCAAGAUUAAAACUCAAAUGAAUUGACGGGG
rnacentral:rRNA from 1 species